GACGUAGGGCGCGAGCGUUGUCCGGAUUUAUUGGGCGUAAAGAGCUCGUAGGCGGCUUGUCGCGUCGACUGUGAAAUCCCGAGGCUCAACUUCGGGCUUGCAGUCGAUACGGGCAGACUAGAGUGCGGUAGGGGAGAUUGGAAUUCCUGGUGUAGCGGUGGAAUGCGCAGAUAUCAGGAGGAACACCAAUGGCGAAGGCAGAUCUCUGGGCCGUAACUGACGCUGAGGAGCGAAAGCAUGGGGAGCGAACAGG
rnacentral:rRNA from 1 species